AUCCAGACAUGGCGAGAUUAAAUGACUUGCCAGCUCCUUGCCACUAAAGCAACAAUGCCAGGGACAGAAGCUGGAUCUCACGCCCAGAGCUUUCUCCCAUGAAUCAUACAACCUUCUCCAGGAUACACCGUACCCCCAGAAAAUCACACUGGAAUUAGACCUCAUGAGAAAGUCUACCUUUUGGAUAACUUUUACCUAAAGAAAAGCUUACAAGAGCAGUGAUUCCCAGGCUUUCUCAGCAAUGUACCCCAUUUCCUGACAUUUACGGCUGAAGGUGAAUUUUUCCUUUUGCAAGGAGAAAAUUUUGGUGGAGAAUUAUCCAACAAGAAAAGGACCUGUGGCUAUUAAGACAGUGACGUUUAACAAAGUCAUGGCCAUGGAGGAAAUUAAACUUACAAAGAACGUCCAUAAUGAGGCUGUGAGUGCUGAUAUUUCAG